rnacentral:lncRNA from 1 species
UGGAGUCUCCUAUGUCUACUUCUUUCUACACAGACACAGUAACAAUCUGAUCUCUCUUUCUUUUCCCCACAGUGUGGGGGGUGGAACACAAGUUUAGAAGUCACAAAAGCAGUAUUCUGGGCCCUACAUGGUGAGCUGUCACUGAGUGAUGCUGGCAUUGCAACUGCUUCUGUAAACAGAAAUGCUUCCAAAAUUAUGCCGGCUGAUUUCAUUUUCAAAUGCUGCACACAGAGGGGCUCUCAUCUGUAAGGAACGGAGCACCCUCUUCAACUCCUCAUCAUCCUUCUCUGUUAGUGGUGUGAGCACUGUCAUGGCAUCCUCUGUUGACUGGCACUGUGGACAGACAUACUCAUCAAUGAGCUCUGCCUCACUUUGCAAGAUGCCAAUGCAGCACCCAUGGUACCAAUUCUGACACCGAUCACGGCCAAUAAAAAAUCUGCAAGAUCUGAAAUGGAAAUGUGAGUUCAAAACAGAUGGGAUGAUGUUACUUAUAAUAAAGCAUGCACCUGAAAAUUUGCUAAACCCUGGGAUAUAAAAUAGUUUUAGUAUUAUGGUUUUAAUACUUUCAAGAUCGACAUUCCAGUACAUUAAUUUAGUAUUUUUGAUGUUAAGAACAAGCAGUAAAAAAAUUUAUAAGAACACUGUAAUUUUGGAGAACCAAUUUAAAGAUAAAUAUGAAACAUUCAAUUGAUUUUAAAGCUGAAAACAAGUCACAAAUCUUUCAACUAGUACUGUACCAUAUGGGAGUUCAAAAUCCUGUAAGGUAAUAACAGAGUCUCAAAGCUUAUACCCAAAUUAGUGUUUUUCUAACCUGCAAUAAAGCACCAUUUCAAACACUGAUAAAGUCCAAACAAGUCAGGCUAUUUUAAUCUCAUUAAUUUCUAUGUUACAUAUUGAAGAAUCAAAUCUACCAUUAAACCACAUUUUCCCCAAUGUGUCUCAAACAUUCACUAUGAAGCAAGAUAAAUUUUGAAGGGUAGGUAAAAAGGGAAAAAGAGAAAAAAAAAAUGAAAAGGAAUUUGUAACGUAAGUGUAUAACAAAUGUAGAAAAAAUCUGCUUUUUAUUUUAAAGUAAAUAAGUAACCAGUCAGAGCAAUUUGGCUUCCUAAAUUAUUAAAUGUGAUGCUCUUAUCAGAACUCACUGUGACUCAUCAUAAGGUGUUCUGCAGAUACAGUACAAUUCCUCACUGCUGCCCUCUUGUGCCUGUUUACAAUCAUUACAGAUGUACACAUCCAUUUUCUUAGCCUCCUUUUCUGCGAUGCCAACACAUUCUCCAUAAUACCAGUUAGUACAAAGAUCACAGCCAAUAUAGAACCUAAAAGUAUUCACAAUGAAAAUGACAAUGUAGUUGUCGUUUUGAGCUGCAUGGUACUUAAAUCUGUCUUCCCUGCCUUGCUUCAUUUUUUUACAGUGUAACUUCCUGCUAUGAGUCAGCUAAACAUUCCUGAAUCCAACCAUUCUACCCCUGGCAAACUCCAGUAUCUGAUGCUCUAUCACAUGUGGAAACAUAAAGUCACUCACAUCAGUUUCAACAAGUACACUGCUUAGUGAAAUAUGGGUCUUUAAAAACAUACUGGAAUUUGAAAAAAGAAACAACACAUUGAUGGUAAUGUCUUCCUCUGAAUGAAUGUGUGUAAAACUGUAACAAGCACAAAAACCAAAGCCAAAGAAUCAAAGACUUACAUCUGUCAAACCUAUUCCACAGAAGCCAUUUCAAUAUCAGGGCUAUUUCUUAGAUAGGUUUAAAAAUGUAUCUCACAAUUUAAAUUUGAAAACAAAGCAAAGCGCAAACACCAAGUAGAAGUUACACUACAAGGACCAUGCAGGUCAGCCAGGUGUAGAAGAUAAAUGGUCAAAAUAUGCUAUGAAGAAGAAAACUAAGAAAGGUACAUAGAGCAAUUCAAUCUCUACCAGGUUUUCUGAAUAAACAUUGGAAUUUAAUCGAAUUUAAAA